rnacentral:rRNA from 1 species
UCCCCCAGUAACUGCGAGUGAAGAGGGAAAAGCUCAAAUUUAAAAUCUGAUAGUCUCUGGCUGUCCGAGUUGUAAUUUAGAGAAGUGUUACCCGUGCUGGACCGUGUAUAAGUCUCCUGGAAUGGAGCGUCAUAGAGGGUGAGAAUCCCGUCUUUGACACGGACUCCCAGUGCAUUGUGGUGCGCUCUCGAAGAGUCGAGUUGUUUGGGAAUGCAGCUCUAAAUGGGUGGUAAAUUCCAUCUAAAGCUAAAUAUUGGCGAGAGACCGAUAGCGAACAAGUACCGUGAGGGAAAGAUGAAAAGAACUUUGGAAAGAGAGUUAAACAGUACGUGAAAUUGCUGAAAGGGAAACGCUUGAAGUCAGUCGCGUUGGCUAGGGAUCAACCUUGCUUUAGUGAGGCGUACUUCCUAGUUGACGGGUCAGCAUCAGUUUCGAUCACUGGAAAAAGGCUUGGGGAAUGUGGCAUCUCCGGAUGUGUUAUAGCCCCUUGUCGUAUACAGUGGUUGGGACUGAGGAACUCAGCACGCCGCAAGGCCGGGUUUCGACCACGUUCGUGCUUAGGAUGCUGGCAUAAUGGCUUUAAGCGACCCGUC